UUUCCUGUAGCACAGUUGGUAGAGCAUUGCGCUAACAACGCAAAUAUAGGUUCAAAUCCUAGGGAAAG